rnacentral:misc_RNA from 1 species
GAUGAAGAACGUAGCGAAAUGCGAUAAGUAAUGCGAAUUGCAGAAUUCAGUGAAUCAUCGAAUCUUUGAACGCACAUUGCGCCCGCCAGUAUUCUGGCGGGCAUGCCUGUUCGAGCGUCAUUUCAACCCUCAAGACCCCUUCGGGGGACUUGGUGUUGGGGACCGGCACAGGGGCCUGCCUGCUUGUCUUGCAGCGCCCUCGCCGCCCCCGAAAUGAAUUGGCGGCCUCGUCGCGGCCUCCCCUGCGUAGUAGCACAACCUCGCAACGGGAACGUGACGGCGGCCACUGCCGUAAAACAACCCAAUUUUAUUAGAGUUGACCUCGAAUCAGGUAGGAAUACCCGCUGAACUUAAGCAUAUCAAUAAGCGGAGGA